rnacentral:rRNA from 2 species
UUGACGUUAGCGACAGAAGAAGCACCGGCUAACUCCGUGCCAGCAGCCGCGGUAAUACGGAGGGUGCGAGCGUUAAUCGGAAUUACUGGGCGUAAAGCGCAUGCAGGUGGUUUGUUAAGUCAGAUGUGAAAGCCCGGGGCUCAACCUCGGAAUAGCAUUUGAAACUGGCAGACUAGAGUACUGUAGAGGGGGGUAGAAUUUCAGGUGUAGCGGUGAAAUGCGUAGAGAUCUGAAGGAAUACCGGUGGCGAAGGCGGCCCCCUGGACAGAUACUGACACUCAGAUGCGAAAGCGUGGGGAGCAAACAGGAUUAGAUACCCUGGUAGUCCACGCCGUAAACGAUGUCUACUUGGAGGUUGUGGCCUUGAGCCGUGGCUUUCGGAGCUAACGCGUUAAGUAGACCGCCUGGGGAGUACGGUCGCAAGAUUAAAACUCAAAUGAAUUGACGGGGGCCCGCACAAGCGGUGGAGCAUGUGGUUUAAUUCGAUGCAACGCGAAGAACCUUACCUACUCUUGACAUCCAGAGAACUUUCCAGAGAUGGAUUGGUGCCUUCGGGAACUCUGAGACAGGUGCUGCAUGGCUGUCGUCAGCUCGUGUUGUGAAAUGUUGGGUUAAGUCCCGCAACGAGCGCAACCCUUAUCCUUGUUUGCCAGCGAGUAAUGUCGGGAACUCCAGGGAGACUGCCGGUGAUAAACCGGAGGAAGGUGGGGACGACGUCAAGUCAUCAUGGCCCUUACGAGUAGGGCUACACACGUGCUACAAUGGCGCAUACAGAGGGCAGCAAGCUAGCGAUAGUGAGCGAAUCCCAAAAAGUGCGUCGUAGUCCGGAUUGGAGUCUGCAACUCGACUCCAUGAAGUCGGAAUCGCUAGUAAUCGUGGAUCAGAAUGCCACGGUGAAUACGUUCCCGGGCCUUGUACACACCGCCCGUCACACCAUGGGAGUGGGCUGCAAAAGAAGUAGGUAGUUUAACCUUCGGGAGGACGCUUACCACUUUGUGGUUCAUGACUGGGGUGAAGUCGUAACAAGGUAGCGCUAGGGGAACCUGGCGCUG